UGCAGGUGACCAAAUGUAUUCAGCUUGAAAGAUAGAUAUCCAAAUCAUUGUCUCUUACAACACUUACCUAUUGAAAUUUUCAGGGAAAUGAAAAUUUCACAGGAAAAUGCAGUUAAUUCAAGCAGUUCACAUACCCUCUAGCCUUCCCUCCAUCACAAAGGAAAGAUCAGAUUACAAAUCAGCCUUCUGUUUCUGAUCCAAGUACUGCAAUGUAUAAAUAUUCCUAAAGAAAUACCAUUUGUGUUCCUCAUCACCAGCUCCCUCUACAGAGAAUUAACUAAGCACAUCUAAGAACUCUCUUUUUCAGGAGGGAGGGGAGGGAAGGAAAGGAGAAGUGUCCUCCUAUCAGUAUUAGAGUAUUAACUAGAAACUCAACUGUAAUACAUGCUGAACAAGAGUCUAAAAUAAUAACAGACUGUUUAUAAGAACAGAUUCUAGCAUCUUAGGAAUCAUGACCAAGAACAAGAAUCUUGAGAUUCUCCUACUUGAGAAAGAGAAGUAGGGUAAACAUAUAGGAAACAGAUGGUUACCAGUGGUAGAUCACUGGGUUUGGGGGUUUUCCACAUAAAAAAAAAAAAAGUCACACUUCACAUAGACACAUGCACCCACACAGAGAAUCAAGAUGUUUCAAAGUGAUAGCAGAAACUCACAUUCACUGUCCCCUGCUCUGCCAGUGAGGAGCUGCACAAUAAAGUGGGAUGGAGAUAGUCAGGGCAGCUGGACCGAGCUGGCCACUGGGAUAUUCCAUACGCCAGGAGGUCAUGCCCAGUAUAAGAGGGAGCUGGAGGGGGCCAAUGGCUGCAUGGGGAUGGGCAUCAGUCAAUGUCUGGUGAGCAACCAUACUGUGCAUGGCUUGUUUCUCUGUCCCUUCAAUUACAAUUACUAUUAUUGCUGGUAAAAGCUUUAAUUGUAACAAAUAGUGUUUAAAACUUCUGAACUCUUUUAGCUCUAAUUAAAGCAGGACAGUGCUUAGUCUUGUAUAAAUGUGUGCAAGUGGUUACUGCAGCCUUAAAGACCAUGGGCCUGAGCGACACUGAUAAGAAGCUGCAUCUUGGCCAGACCAUGCUGGGGUCACUCAGCACUCAAAGAAAAGAAACUUUUUUUUUGAGGCCUGUGACCAAAAAAUGGAUAAUUUGAGGACUGGAAUGUUCCCCAAAUGACCACCAGAGACCCUCUAAAGAUGAUGCCUACUCUAAUGUAAAUAAGCUCCAAGAAGUGAUUUGAAUAUGCAAAAGAAUUUGUGUAUACAUUUUUAUUAAACUUAUUUUUUAGAUUUCACCAGAAUAGCCCAUAUGGAAGAAUACAAGAAGAUACUUUUAAAAAAUAGAUGGACUGACAGAUUUUUACACUACUUUCCUACAUCAAAGUAAGUAAAUGUUAGUUUUAAAACAUUCUUCAGCUCUUUAAUAAAGUAAUGUAUUUCCACUCCCUCUAUACACUCCCUGUGAACACUCCAUUUAUUUGUCAGAGCACAAAAGCCAUGUCAUCGGCCCAUGCACUAGCACACAUUCAUAAACAAAAUACCAUUGAAGGUAGCCUAAAGAUGUCAUUGCCUUUUACUUUAAAGGAUAAAAAUUUCUUGACAUUCAACUGGAACCAAUCAGGUAUUUCAGAAAUGUUUGUUUAACUCCCUUUCUCAGCUAGCAACUAUAAUAAAGAGACAUACAACAGUGAAAAAGCAGGUAGACGCCCAAUAGAGUCAUAACCAAGUAUGCAGCAAAUGUUUUAAGAGACACACUAUCAACAAAUAUUAUUUACAGUAUGACCCAGAGACAAUGUAAUCACUUGUACAAAAUGUAGAUUACAGUUUUAUCCAGGGACCUAAUGAGUGAUGAUCUUCCCCCCUCCAACACACACACACACAAAAAAAAAAAGGGAAAAAAAAGAAAAAAAAAAAAAAAAAAAAGAAAAAAAAUAACCCCGUGCAAAAAAAAACCCUCAACAGGCAGCAACCUUCGCUUCGAGAUGUUUCUUAAAAAAGCAAAUAGUAACUCACUUUGCUGAUAUGUCUUUAUGUGAUCCCAGAAAAAAAGCAAGGGCGGGGUGGGAAGGGAGAAGGAGAACAACCAGAGAGGGAGCAGACACAGCACUCCUUCGAACCAAGGCUGCCACCUCGUGGGCUUGGGCCGGGGGCAGCCCCAGGGCUUCCCUUUCUCAAGGCAGAAUCAAGAGGGUUUUGAUCCCAUCCAGCAUGAGGAAAUGCAAUCCAUACUUAGUUUUGUAAGACAUGAUGACUGAACAUAUGUUUAAACUUGUAUUUGCCUCUGGGGCAUUUUUACUUCAGCUACAAAGCCCAUUUCAUGAGUGCAUAAGUCAAAGUCAGCAGUUGGUGAGUGCACUUACUUUAACCAUUUCAGCACAUCCUCAUCUCUCACUGUUUGUGGGUGUGCUACAAGAGCCUCAUGAGUCACCCUCUCCAUGCCCUACGUCACUCUCCUGGAUGUUCAUCCACUUCCUUUAAGGGACUGGUCUCAGGCUGCAAGUCCCAAUGCAAAUGAUUCCCUUGUAACAAUUUUCAACUCUACUAUUCCUUUUAUGGGCAGAGAAGUACUUUAAAUAAACUAAGAAAGUUAGACACAUAACUCUUCCUUCAUCAACUAGCAGCUGGCAAAAGCUACAACAGAGUCAUGAUGAUUUAUUGUCACGAAACCUUACUUCCCACACAAGCUACAAGUCAGCUUGUGCACUUGUCUGUCUCUGAGGUACAGAAUGCAGCAAUUCAGCUACUCUGUUCUGAACCUCACUGAGAAGAAGGUCUGUGUGGUUAAAAACACCGGCAUUAAGGGGGCCUUAUGCAACAUCGAAGCCUUUUACAUGCAUUGGCAGCAAUCUCGGGAGCCUCAUAGCACUGAAGGUCCUGGUACCAGCAUGGCCCAGCAUCGCAACAGCAUUGGGAGAUUAAAACAUUUGCCACAUGUGACAGAUUCCCUGAGCACAACUGCUGCACUGCUGAAGUGAAUAGGAGUUUUUCCACAGCCCAUCCCCCAUGACACCCUGUACCAUGUCAUGUUAAAAACUCAAAACCAAAAUAAAAAAUUUCCCUUUUUCCUUCUCUGUUGUUAAAUAAAGCAGAUUUAAUGCAUCAGUUAUAACAAAUAAUUAUUUUACUUAA